GACGGAGGGUGCAAACGUUGCUCGGAAUCAUUGGGCGUAAAGCGCACGUAGGCGGCCUGAUAAGUCGGGUGUGAAAGCCCUGGGCUCAACCCAGGAAGUGCACUCGAAACUGUCAGGCUUGAAUAUGGAAGAGGGUCGCGGAAUUCCCGGUGUAGAGGUGAAAUUCGUAGAUAUCGGGAGGAACACCAGUGGCGAAGGCGGCGACCUGGGCCAAUAUUGACGCUGAGGUGCGAAAGCGUGGGGAGCAAACAGG
rnacentral:rRNA from 1 species